UACGUAGGGGGCUAGCGUUGCUCGGAAUCACUGGGCGUAAAGCGCACGUAGGCGGCUUCUUAAGUCAGGGGUGAAAUCCUGGAGCUCAACUCCAGAACUGCCUUUGAUACUGGGAGGCUCGAGUCCGGAAGAGGUGAGUGGAACUGCGAGUGUAGAGGUGAAAUUCGUAGAUAUUCGCAAGAACACCAGUGGCGAAGGCGGCUCACUGGUCCGGUACUGACGCUGAGGUGCGAAAGCGUGGGGAGCGAACAGG
rnacentral:rRNA from 1 species